rnacentral:rRNA from 1 species
GUUAUAGGAUCAAGCGACUAAGUGCAUGGGGUGGAUGCCUUGGCGAUCACAGGCGAUGAAGGACGUGCAAGCCUGCGAAAAGCGUGGGGGAGCUGGCAAUGAAGCUUUGAUCCCGCGAUGUCCGAAUGGGGAAACCCACUCCGCAAGGAGUAUCCCUGGCUGAAUCCAUAGGCCAGCGGAAGCGAACCGAGCGAACUGAAACAUCUAAGUAGCUCGAGGAAAAGAAAUCAACCGAGAUUCCCAAAGUAGUGGCGAGCGAAAUGGGAGCAGCCUGCACGAGAAAACCAUCGGCUUAGCAAAACGGUCUGGAAAGUCCGGCAAUAUAGGGUGAUAGCCCCGUAUGCGAAAAGCCGGUGGCGGGUCUGAGCGUGCGACAAGUAGGGCGGGACACGUGAAAUCCUGUCUGAAGAUGGGGGGACCAUCCUCCAAGGCUAAAUACUCGUGAUCGACCGAUAGUGAACCAGUACCGUGAGGGAAAGGCGAAAAGAACCCCGGGAGGGGAGUGAAAUAGAACCUGAAACCGCAUGCAUACAAACAGUGGGAGCCCCUCCUUUAACGGCCUUCGGUUCUUUAGGCGAGCGCGUGAGCGCGAGCCAAAAGACUUUCAGAUUGAAAUAGAUCUGAAACGAAGUGCCAGCCUAGCAGUAGAGGGCCGUUAAAGGAGGGGUGACUGCGUACCUUUUGUAUAAUGGGUCAGCGACUUACGUUAUGUGGCGAGCUUAACCGAAUAGGGGAGGCGUAGGGAAACCGAGUCUGAUAAGGGCGAAUGAGUCGCAUGGCGUAGACCCGAAACCGGAUGAUCUAUCCAUGGCCAGGAUGAAGGUGCCGUAACAGGUACUGGAGGUCCGAACCCACUAACGUUGAAAAGUUAGGGGAUGAGCUGUGGAUAGGGGUGAAAGGCUAAACAAAUCCGGAAAUAGCUGGUUCUCCCCGAAAACUAUUUAGGUAGUGCGUCGUACGGACACUUGCGGGGGUAGAGCACUGUAAUCGUUGGGGGGGUCAUUGCGAUCUACCCCGCGAUAGCAAACUCCGAAUACCGCAAAGUGAUAUACGGCAGACAGACAAUGGGUGCUAACGUCCGUUGUCGAGAGGGAAACAACCCAGACCGCCAGCUAAGGUCCCCAAUGCAUGGCUAAGUGGCAAACGAGGUGGGAAGGCCCAGACAGCUAGGAGGUUGGCUUAGAAGCAGCCACCCUUUAAAGAAAGCGUAAUAGCUCACUAGUCGAGUCGUCCUGCGCGGAAGAUGUAACGGGGCUCAAGCCAUGAACCGAAGCUGCGGAUGUGUCCUUGACACAUGGUAGGGGAGCGUUCCGUAAGCCUGCGAAGGUGUCUCGUAAGGGAUGCUGGAGGUAUCGGAAGUGCGAAUGCUGACAUGAGUAGCGAUAAAGGGAGUGAAAAGCUCCCUCGCCGAAAGCCCAAGGUUUCCUGCGCAACGUUCAUCGGCGCAGGGUGAGUCGGCCCCUAAGGCGAGGCAGAAAUGCGUAGUCGAUGGGAAACAGGUCAAUAUUCCUGUACCGAUUCUAGAUGCGAUGGGGGGACGGAGAAGGUUAGGCCAGCCGGGUGUUGGACGUCCCGGUUUAAGCGUGUAGGCGUGCCCCGUAGGCAAAUCCGCGGGGCUGAGCUGAGGCGUGAUGACGAGUCUCCUUGUGAGACGAAGUGGUCGAUACCCUGCUUCCAGGAAAAGCCUCUAAGCUUCAGUCUAGAGUCGACCGUACCGCAAACCGACACAGGUGGGCAGGUUGAAAAUACCAAGGCGCUUGAGAGAACUCAGGAGAAGGAACUCGGCAAAUUGAUACCGUAACUUCGGGAGAAGGUAUGCCCCAUUAGCUUGUAGGAGUACAUCCGAAGGGCGAAGGGGCCGCAGAGAAUCGGUGGCUGCGACUGUUUAUUAAAAACACAGCACUCUGCAAAAUCGAAAGAUGACGUAUAGGGUGUGACGCCUGCCCGGUGCCGGAAGGUUAAGUGAUGGGGUGAUAAGCUCUUGAUCGAAGCCCCGGUAAACGGCGGCCGUAACUAUAACGGUCCUAAGGUAGCGAAAUUCCUUGUCGGGUAAGUUCCGACCUGCACGAAUGGCGUAACGAUGGCCACACUGUCUCCUCCUGAGACUCAGCGAAGUUGAAAUGUUUGUGAAGAUGCAAUCUCCCCGCGGCAAGACGGAAAGACCCCAUGAACCUUUACUGUAGCUUUGCAUUGGACUUUGACGGGACUUGUGUAGGAUAGGUGGGAGGCUAUGAAGCGGGAACGCCAGUUCUCGUGGAGCCGUCCUUGAAAUACCACCCUGGUGUCGUUGAGGUUCUAACCCAGGCCCGUGAAUCCGGGUCGGGGACCGUGCAUGGCAGGCAGUUUGACUGGGGCGGUCUCCUCCCAAAAGGUAACGGAGGAGUACGAAGGUCGCCUAGGUACGGUCGGACAUCGUACUGAUAGUGCAAUGGCAAAAGGCGGCUUGACUGCGAGACCGACAAGUCGAGCAGGUGCGAAAGCAGGUCAUAGUGAUCCGGUGGUUCUGUAUGGAAGGGCCAUCGCUCAACGGAUAAAAGGUACUCUGGGGAUAACAGGCUGAUUCCGCCCAAGAGUUCACAUCGACGGCGGAGUUUGGCACCUCGAUGUCGGCUCAUCACAUCCUGGGGCUGUAGCCGGUCCCAAGGGUAUGGCUGUUCGCCAUUUAAAGUGGUACGUGAGCUGGGUUUAAAACGUCGUGAGACAGUUUGGUCCCUAUCUGCCGUGGGCGCUGGAAGUUUGAGAGGACCUGCUCCUAGUACGAGAGGACCGGAGUGGACGCACCGCUGGUGUACCGGUUGUGACGCCAGUCGCAUCGCCGGGUAGCUAUGUGCGGAAGAGAUAACCGCUGAAAGCAUCUAAGCGGGAAACUCGCCUCAAGAUGAGACUUCCCCGGGGCUACAAGCCCCCUAAAGGGUCGUUGAAGACCACAACGUUGAUAGGUCGGGUGUGUAAGCGUGGCAACACGUUCAGCUAACCGAUACUAAUUGCCCGUGAGGCUUGAUCCUAUAACCUU